rnacentral:rRNA from 1 species
UAACACAUGCAAGUCGAGCGGAUGAAUGGAGCUUGCUCCAUGAUUCAGCGGCGGACGGGUGAGUAAUGCCUAGGAAUCUGCCUGGUAGUGGGGGACAACGUUUCGAAAGGAACGCUAAUACCGCAUACGUCCUACGGGAGAAAGUGGGGGAUCUUCGGACCUCACGCUAUCAGAUGAGCCUAGGUCGGAUUAGCUUGUUGGCGGGGUAAAAGCCCACCGAGGCGACGAUCCGUAGCUGGUCUGAGAGGAUGAUCAGCCACACUGGGACUGAGACACGGCCCAGACUCCUACGGGAGGCAGCAGUGGGGAAUAUUGGACAAUGGGCGAAAGCCUGAUCCAGCAAUGCCGCGUGAGUGAUGAAGGCCUUAGGGUUGUAAAGCUC